AGAUUAAAAAAGAUAUAGUGUUAAGAGAACAAUAUUAAUCACAAUAAAUUAACAUCUAUUAAAUCCUGCAGUGUCCUGUCUCUACCUACAUCUAUGUAUACAUCAUCCCAGACCAUCUAAAGAGAAAUUAUUUGCUUAAAAUGAAAAUUGUAUAUGUUAAAGAAGUGCAAUGAAGUUUAUCACAACAUAUCGAAAAUAUAAUUAUCCGCUGUCAGUAUCACAUAUACCCAGAUAACCAUAAUUUUGUAUCGAUUUAUAAAUUAAUAUAUAAAU